rnacentral:rRNA from 1 species
UACGGAGGAUCCGAGCGUUAUCCGGAUUUAUUGGGUUUAAAGCGUGCGCAGGCGGACGGGUAAGUCAGCUGUGAAAGUUUACGGCUCAACCGUGAAAUUGCAGUUGAUACUGUUGGUCUAGAGUAUAGAUGAGGUGGGCGGAAUUUGUGGUGUAGCGGUGAAAUGCUUAGAUAUCACGAAGAACUCCAAUUGCGAAGGCAGCUCACUGGAGUAUAACUGACGCUGAGGCACGAAGGUGUGGGGAUCAAACAGG